CAGCAGUUACCCUUUCUAGUCUGGCACGUGGGACUUCAGAGGGCGUCCAUCUGCGACAGUGAGUGGUGAGUUGCCUGGUCCAGCGUCAGUAUUCUGAUGGUGGCGUUAGACUUGCCAGAGGGAA